rnacentral:lncRNA from 1 species
CUUGGUCCCAGGGGCAGCUUGGACUACAGUUAGGAAGUCACUGGGCCCACCCCGAGGACUGCAGGACUCCAUGCAGGACAGCUUAUGCUGUGCCAUUUUCCAAGAAGCAUGGGUCCUCAGGAUCAGGCCAACCAGAUCAAGUUCCUGAAAGCCAUGAGCCUCUGGAAACUCUCUGCACUUCACCCCACCAACAGAGCCAUGAAGAGCCCUCUGCACCCCUCCCAGCUUUGCAGCCAACUUUGCCCCUCCCCCCUGAUGUGCCAACCCCUCCUUCUUCAAGGAAAUCCCUCUGCCCCAUGCCUCCAAGGAGGUCAGUCCAGACUGGAAAUCACAGGCAGGAGCACCAGGUGGAUAGCCCCCUGCCUCUGUCCCCUCCAAGAACUGUGAUUCUCACCCCACCCCAAACCCAACCCUACAGCCCCCAGGUCAAGCAUCCACUGCUGGACCUGUCCAACAACA